ACUAAAGUCAGUCAAGCGACUGUUGGAGCACACUUCCUGGGCAGAGCGACAAUUACAGUGGCUGUCAGAGCAUCAAUGGGCCAUUAUAAAACGUUCUCUGUAACCCUCGCAUGAAGAGGAGUCAUGGAAAGGGAGUUCUGGUUUGGUCUUCAUUUCUACUUAAGAAAAGGUGGAAAAGAUGUAGCCUUUUAUUCUAUCUGGUUGUCUGGAGGCCUCACACAGAUUCCAAUAACCGAUGUGUAAGAGACCCCAGACAGAGCAGGGCCACAACAAAAGAACAAUUUGACUAGUCACCUCUCGAGGCCCCCAGGACAACAGCCUCCUGUCAACAUCACCAUUACGAUGAAACUCAGUGUGGUGCUGGGGAAGCGAGUGACGAGUGAAAGAUCUGGAGGCGGCCGGGAAGGAGAUGACGACAAAGUCCCAAGCCACAUUCUGAAUCAGACCCCCCCUCCUCUGGGAACUAACUUCUUGUGGACCUCCAGAGGCCCCAGACCCUGGCGCUGACGGAUAUCCAGGUGGUUGACCGUGAGGGAGGAAGGCCCCAUUAGCAGAUGGACGACGGACCCUGAAGCCGACAGGGUUAGUGUGAGGCGCGGCACAGCUGAAGGGAGCAACAGGGGCUGUCAUCAUCACCAUGACGGCCCAAAACGGCCCCCCAUCCCCAUGCUAAUUACUAUGAAACCAUAGGCAGAAAUACAAUGACAAGAUGUUGAUGCCAUGCUGUCCCAUUGUGUACCGGCCAUUUGUCUGUGUCAAGUUGUAUUUCACCAUGUAGUUUAAUGAAGUGUAUUUACACACAUAAAUAUGA